GGGGGCGUAUUGGUUUCGACGGGGAUGAUGGUGUCGAGAGCAGCGAGCAGUGGCCGGGACCACUAUAAAACCCGAACAAAAAGUAAUUGCGGACAAUAACGCAGAAUUAGCUUUAGCUGCUUAAUGCAGCUAACGUCCGACUUACGCUUCCCGCAGCGUAAGAUCCGGGCGUCGAUGUAGCGGGGAACCAGUCUGCCUAAGCUUUGCGGCAGAUGGGAUUAUAUGAAGCUAGCUGAUUGCAUAUCCUGUGAUCGGGAGAUGCAUGAGGCGAAUAUUAAAACGAUCACUGCGCUCGGAGAUACUGUCGAGGCCAUAUCUUCGGACAGGGGUUCGAUUCCCCUCGCCUCCACCA
rnacentral:tmRNA from 1 species